GGGUUGUGAGGUUAAGCGACUAAGCGUACACGGUGGAUGCCCUGGCAGUCAGAGGCGAUGAAGGACGUGCUAAUCUGCGAAAAGCGUCGGUAAGGUGAUAUGAACCGUUAUAACCGGCGAUGUCCGAAUGGGGAAACCCAGUGUGAUUCGUCACACUAUCGUUAACUGAAUACAUAGGUUAACGAGGCGAACCGGGGGAACUGAAACAUCUAAGUACCCCGAGGAAAAGAAAUCAACCGAGAUUCCCCCAGUAGCGGCGAGCGAACGGGGAGCAGCCCAGAGUCUGAAUCAGCUUGUGUGUUAGUGGAACGGUCUGGAAAGUCCGACGGUACAGGGUGAUAGUCCCGUACACCAAAAUGCACAGGCUGUGAACUCGAAGAGUAGGGCGGGACACGUGGUAUCCUGUCUGAAUAUGGGGGGACCAUCCUCCAAGGCUAAAUACUCCUGACUGACCGAUAGUGAACCAGUACCGUGAGGGAAAGGCGAAAAGAACCCCGGCGAGGGGAGUGAAAAAGAACCUGAAACCGUGUACGUACAAGCAGUGGGAGCACCUUCGGGUGUGACUGCGUACCUUUUGUAUAAUGGGUCAGCGACUUAUAUUCUGUAGCAAGGUUAACCGUAUAGGGGAGCCGCAGGGAAACCGAGUCUUAACUGGGCGUUAAGUUGCAGGGUAUAGACCCGAAACCCGGUGAUCUAGCCAUGGGCAGGUUGAAGGUUGGGUAACACUAACUGGAGGACCGAACCGACUAAUGUUGAAAAAUUAGCGGAUGACUUGUGGCUGGGGGUGAAAGGCCAAUCAAACCGGGAGAUAGCUGGUUCUCCCCGAAAGCUAUUUAGGUAGCGCCUCGUGAACUCAUCUUCGGGGGUAGAGCACUGUUUCGGCUAGGGGGUCAUCCCGACUUACCAACCCGAUGCAAACUACGAAUACCGAAGAAUGUUAUCACGGGAGACACACGGCGGGUGCUAACGUCCGUCGUGAAGAGGGAAACAACCCAGACCGCCAGCUAAGGUCCCAAAGUCAUGGUUAAGUGGGAAACGAUGUGGGAAGGCACAGACAGCCAGGAUGUUGGCUUAGAAGCAGCCAUCAUUUAAAGAAAGCGUAAUAGCUCACUGGUCGAGUCGGCCUGCGCGGAAGAUGUAACGGGGCUAAACCAUGCACCGAAGCUGCGGCAGCGACACUAUGUGUUGUUGGGUAGGGGAGCGUUCUGUAAGCCUGCGAAGGUGGCCUGUGAGGGUUGCUGGAGGUAUCAGAAGUGCGAAUGCUGACAUAAGUAACGAUAAAGCGGGUGAAAAGCCCGCUCGCCGGAAGACCAAGGGUUCCUGUCCAACGUUAAUCGGGGCAGGGUGAGUCGACCCCUAAGGCGAGGCCGAAAGGCGUAGUCGAUGGGAAACAGGUUAAUAUUCCUGUACUUGGUGUUACUGCGAAGGGGGGACGGAGAAGGCUAUGUUAGCCGGGCGACGGUUGUCCCGGUUUAAGCAUGUAGGCUGAUUAUCCAGGCAAAUCCGGAUAAUCAAGGCUGAGGUGUGAUGACGAGGCACUACGGUGCUGAAGUAACAAAUGCCCUGCUUCCAGGAAAAGCCUCUAAGCAUCAGGUAACAUCAAAUCGUACCCCAAACCGACACAGGUGGUCAGGUAGAGAAUACCAAGGCGCUUGAGAGAACUCGGGUGAAGGAACUAGGCAAAAUGGUGCCGUAACUUCGGGAGAAGGCACGCUGGUGUGUAGGUGAAGUCCCUGCGGAUGGAGCUGAGACCAGUCGAAGAUACCAGCUGGCUGCAACUGUUUAUUAAAAACACAGCACUGUGCAAACACGAAAGUGGACGUAUACGGUGUGACGCCUGCCCGGUGCCGGAAGGUUAAUUGAUGGGGUUAUCCGUAAGGAGAAGCUCUUGAUCGAAGCCCCGGUAAACGGCGGCCGUAACUAUAACGGUCCUAAGGUAGCGAAAUUCCUUGUCGGGUAAGUUCCGACCUGCACGAAUGGCGUAAUGAUGGCCAGGCUGUCUCCACCCGAGACUCAGUGAAAUUGAACUCGCUGUGAAGAUGCAGUGUACCCGCGGCAAGACGGAAAGACCCCGUGAACCUUUACUAUAGCUUGACACUGAACAUUGAGCCUUGAUGUGUAGGAUAGGUGGGAGGCUUUGAAGCGUGGACGCCAGUCUGCGUGGAGCCAACCUUGAAAUACCACCCUUUAAUGUUUGAUGUUCUAACGUUGGCCCCUUAUCGGGGUUGCGGACAGUGUCUGGUGGGUAGUUUGACUGGGGCGGUCUCCUCCCAAAGCGUAACGGAGGAGCACGAAGGUUAGCUAAUCCUGGUCGGACAUCAGGAGGUUAGUGCAAUGGCAUAAGCUAGCUUGACUGCGAGCGUGACGGCGCGAGCAGGUGCGAAAGCAGGUCAUAGUGAUCCGGUGGUUCUGAAUGGAAGGGCCAUCGCUCAACGGAUAAAAGGUACUCCGGGGAUAACAGGCUGAUACCGCCCAAGAGUUCAUAUCGACGGCGGUGUUUGGCACCUCGAUGUCGGCUCAUCACAUCCUGGGGCUGAAGUAGGUCCCAAGGGUAUGGCUGUUCGCCAUUUAAAGUGGUACGCGAGCUGGGUUUAGAACGUCGUGAGACAGUUCGGUCCCUAUCUGCCGUGGGCGCUGGAGAAUUGAGGGGGGCUGCUCCUAGUACGAGAGGACCGGAGUGGACGCAUCACUGGUGUUCGGGUUGUCAUGCCAAUGGCACUGCCCGGUAGCUAAAUGCGGAAGAGAUAAGUGCUGAAAGCAUCUAAGCACGAAACUUGCCCCGAGAUGAGUUCUCCCUGAGACUUUAAGUCUCCUGAAGGAACGUUAAAGACGAUGACGUUGAUAGGCCGGGUGUGUAAGCGCAGCGAUGCGUUGAGCUAACCGGUACUAAUGAACCGUGAGGCUUAACCUUACAACGCCGAAG
rnacentral:rRNA from 1 species